AGUGAACGCUGGCGGUAGGCCUAACACAUGCAAGUCGAACGGCAGCACAGGAGAGCUUGCUCUCUGGGUGGCGAGUGGCGGACGGGUGAGGAAUACAUCGGAAUCUACUCUGUCGUGGGGGAUAACGUAGGGAAACUUACGCUAAUACCGCAUACGACCUACGGGUGAAAGCAGGGGAUCUUCGGACCUUGCGCGAUUGAAUGAGCCGAUGUCGGAUUAGCUAGUUGGCGGGGUAAAGGCCCACCAAGGCGACGAUCCGUAGCUGGUCUGAGAGGAUGAUCAGCCACACUGGAACUGAGACACGGUCCAGACCCCUACGGGAGGCAGCAGUGGGGAAUAUUGGACAAUGGGCGCAAGCCUGAUCCAGCCAUACCGCGUGGGUGAAGAAGGCCUUCGGGUUGUAAAGCCCUUUUGUUGGGAAAGAAAUCCAGCUGGUUAAUACCCGGUAGGGAUGACGGUACCCAAAGAAUAAGCACCGGCUAACUUCGUGCCAGCAGCCGCAGUAA
rnacentral:rRNA from 1 species